GAUUGGCUGGAAUGAUGAAUCAAUUAGACGUGUGAACUCACUAUAUGAUGUAAACUUUUGAGGCAUAAUUAGACCCGCCAAGU
rfam:Oryza brachyantha chromosome 9, whole genome shotgun sequence.